UUUAAUGUUAUGGUAUUGCUAUCACUUGGACUAAUAAAGGACAAUUUAAAACAAGCUGACAAUGAAGAACUGGCAUUUCCUUAUAACAUACAUACAGGAGUGAAAUACAAACAUCUUGUUUAAUAUUCUGUACUUUUAAGUCUCUGUUUGCAUAUAUUAGCUUGAAGAUUCAGGAAUGAAAAGAACAUUAAAGUGUUACUUGAAGAACUAUCUUAAGUGACCUGUUAAUGAGAAACAGUCAAAAUAAGGCAAUAACUAUCAGUCUACCUUCUACCUUCCUUGUGUGCUUCAUUAGUAAAAUGGAGAAAUGUUUUAAAAUAUAUAGUUAUCCAUUUCUUAACUGCCUCAAAUUAGAAAUUGUAAUGCCAUGGGUCUCAAAGCCUGGCUCUUUAUGUUUUAUUAUUUUUAUUGGUCUCCAUCCUAGAUGGAAUAUUUCACUGGGAACUCCUCAGAGCCAAGGCCAUCCAUAUGAGGAAUUCAGAGACAUGAAAAUCAAUUUCACACCAUGGAGAAGGAAAUGAGAACAAAGAAGGAGCAGAGCAAUAGCUGCAGAUUGAAACCGAGGCCUCAAACAUGCCAAGAAGCUCCACCACUGAGCUAUACUCCAAAUCCACAUGAAAUUUUAUGUGUUUUCUCAGAAAUGUGGACUUCACAAUUCUGUACCUACAAGGAUCUUACAAUGAAGUUUCUGUAUUCAUAUUUGGAAAGAAGAUACAGUUUCUGAGCCCAGUGGUUUGUUUUCUGUGUCCCUUCUUGAAUAGCAUGAAAGGAAUUCCUUGAAAAUUUCUGUGAAAAAACAGUUUAUAUCUUUGAACAGCUGAGACAGGAAUAAGCAGAAUAACUAAAAAUCCUGGCAAUCGCCAGGAUAUUCAAAGACAGAUAAGAAAGCAGCUUUUUCAUUUUCAGAACUAACCGCUCCCCAGUGUGCACAAUGAAGAAAGAAUAUGGAGACGCUAGCACAAAUGAUGAGACUUCCCCUCAGAAACCAAACUUCCUGUCUGUCUAAUCUCCUGGAUAAAUAAUGCCCAUCAA